AUUGCGAAAAUCCACACACACAUGUUUCAAUCACAGAAACGAAAUGCAAACAGAACCUAGCAAGUAAAUAAAUAUCACCAUGUUACAGCAGAUAGGCGCAAAGGGGAGGACCUUACCCGACAGUGUCUAAUGUAUUAGUGAUACCGAAGUCCAACGGCAGAAGCGACACCAGCAUAAGAAGAAGGAAAGGCUAAUACUCUAAGGCCCCAUUGCACUUUCGACACAUAUUAAGGAAGUGUCUAAUCAAGGUAAGAGAAGACAAAGGUUGCAUGGCUAAACCCUACUAACAUAUACAUUUAAUUGUUUCAUGUCAUCAUGCUUAUCUAUUGCUAUAGGGGUAGUAGAUGGAAAAAUACUCAUUAUAUGCUCCCCCUUGAUUUCUGCAGGGGAUUUAUCUAAUGGAAGUUGAAAAAUCACGCGGUAAAUGGGGGCCAAUAACAUGACUAGUACUGUGUACAGCUGCAUGCCUUUAAUUAGGUGAGCUGUUGGUGAUUGGGACCACAUCAUUGGUAUUAAUUAUCAACUGUUGGAAGGAGGAAGAGAAAGUAUAAAGAAAUUAGGAUCCAUAAGAUACAAUCGACAGGAUGGGAUGGAGUUGGAGUUGGACCAUGUGCACUAAAGUGGGAGGGUGUAAAAGGCAUAGCCAUUGUGCUUUUAUGUUCAUAUAGGAACAGCAGAGGAUGUCUCACAGUUUCCUAAGGCUCCAAAAUUUUAUCAUUGGUUCUUCGAUAUUUGUACAGGAUGACUGAGGAAAAAUAUACAACAAUGAAGCCUUUUAGUCCCGAGCAGGGAUUUUACAAUAUAGACUACACAAGAAAAAGGUGUAUGGUUACCUUUGAUGGUAGUGCCCUCUGAAUCACUUUCAUCAGACCACAACUGGAACAAGAG